AGGACGGCGCUCCUAUUUUGUUGGUUUCUAGGAGAGCCGUAAUGAUUAAUAGGGACAGUUGGGGGCAUCCGUAUUCAGUUGUCAGAGGUGAAAUUCUUGGAUUUACUGAAGACGAACUACUGCGAAAGCAUUUGCCAAAGAUGUUUUCAUUAAUCAGUGAACGAAAGUUAGGGGAUCGAAGACGAUCAGAUACCGUCGUAGUCUUAACCAUAAACUAUGCCGACUAGGGAUCGGGCGAUGUUAUUGUAUUGACUCGCUCGGCACCUUUCGAGAAAUCAAAGUGUUUGGGUUCUGGGGGGAGUAUGGUCGCAAGGCUGAAACUUAAAGAAAUUGACGGAAGGGCACCACCAGGAGUGGAGCCUGCGGCUUAAUUUGACUCAACACGGGGAAACUCACCAGGUCCAGAUACACGUAGGAUUGACAGAUUGAGAGCUCUUUCUUGAUUGUGUAGUUGGUGGUGCAUGGCCGUUCUUAGUUGGUGGAGUGAUUUGUCUGCUUAAUUGCGAUAACGAACGAGACCUUCAUCGUUAACUAGCCCGGCUCGCCUUGGCGGGUCGCCGGCUUCUUAGCGAGACUUUUGGCUUAAGCCAAAGGAAGUUGGAGGCAAUAACAGGUCUGUGAUGCCCUUAGAUGUUCUGGGCUGCACGCGCGCUACACUGACAGAGGCAACGAGUUUCGUUCCUUGGCCGGAAGGCCUGGGUAAUCUGUACUUUCC
rnacentral:rRNA from 1 species